rnacentral:misc_RNA from 1 species
GAGAUGAACGCAGCGAAAUGCGAUAAGUAAUGUGAAUUGCAGAAUUCAGUGAAUCAUCGAAUCUUUGAACGCACAUUGCGCCCCUUGGUAUUCCGAGGGGCAUGCCUGUUCGAGCGUCAUUAUAACCCCUCAAGCUCAGCUUGGUGUUGGGGCCUGCUGCACUGGCAGCCCUUAAAAUCAGUGGCGGCGCCAUCUGGCUCUAAGCGUAGUAAUUCUUCUCGCUAUGGAGUCCUGGUGGAUGCUUGCCAUCAACCCCCAAUUUUUCUAUGGUUGACCUCGGAUCAGGUAGGGAUACCCGCUGAACUUAAGCAUAUCAAUAAGCGGAGGA